rnacentral:rRNA from 1 species
UACGUAGGGUGCGAGCGUUAAUCGGAAUUACUGGGCGUAAAGCGUGCGCAGGCGGUUCGUUAAGUCAGCUGUGAAAGCCCCGAGCUUAACUUGGGAAUUGCGGUUGAAACUGGCGGACUAGAAUCUGGCAGAGGGGGGUGGAAUUCCACGUGUAGCAGUGAAAUGCGUAGAGAUGUGGAGGAACACCGGAUGGCGCAAGGCAGCCCCCUGGGCUGAGAUUGACGCUCAGGCACGGAAAGC